rnacentral:rRNA from 1 species
AUGUCGGCUCAUCACAUCCUGGGGCUGAAGUAGGUCCCAAGGGUAUGGCUGUUCGCCAUUUAAAGUGGUACGCGAGCUGGGUUUAGAACGUCGUGAGACAGUUCGGUCCCUAUCUGCCGUGGGCGCUGGAGAACUGAGGGGGGCUGCUCCUAGUACGAGAGGACCGGAGUGGACGCAUCACUGGUGUUCGGGUUGUCAUGCCAAUGGCACUGCCCGGUAGCUAAAUGCGGAAGAGAUAAGUGCUGAAAGCAUCUAAGCACGAAACUUGCCCCGAGAUGAGUUCUCCCUGAGACUUAGAGUCUCCUGAAGGAACGUUGAAGACGACGACGUUGAUAGGCCGGGUGUGUAAGCGCAGCGAUGCGUUGAGCUAACCGGUACUAAUGAACCGUGAGGCUUAACCUU